AGAUUGAACGCUGGCGGCAUGCCUUACACAUGCAAGUCGAACGGCAGCACGGGAGCAAUCCUGGUGGCGAGUGGCGAACGGGUGAGUAAUAUAUCGGAACGUGCCCAGUCGUGGGGGAUAACGCAGCGAAAGCUGUGCUAAUACCGCAUACGAUCUAUGGAUGAAAGCGGGGGAUCGCAAGACCUCGCGCGAUUGGAGCGGCCGAUAUCAGAUUAGCUAGUUGGUGGGGUAAAAGCCUACCAAGGCGACGAUCUGUAGCUGGUCUGAGAGGACGACCAGCCACACUGGAACUGAGACACGGUCCAGACCCCUACGGGAGGCAGCAGUGGGGAAUUUUGGACAAUGGGCGCAAGCCUGAUCCAGCAAUGCCGCGUGCAGGAUGAAGGCCUUCGGUUGUAACUGCUUUUGUACGGAACGAAACGGUUCUCUACUAAUACGAGGGCUAAGUGACGUACCGUAAGAAUAAGACACCGCUAACUACGUAGACC
rnacentral:rRNA from 1 species